rnacentral:rRNA from 1 species
ACGCUCGACACCUACGGAGGCAGCAGUAGGGAAUCUUCCACAAUGGGCGCAAGCCUGAUGGAGCAACACCGCGUGAGUGAAGAAGGGUUUCGGCUCGUAAAGCUCUGUUGUUGGAGAAGAACGUGCGUGAGAGUAACUGUUCACGCAGUGACGGUAUCCAACCAGAAAGUCACGGCUAACUACGUGCCAGCACGUCGGACGGUAAUCUGACGGGCCGGGCGUGGACGAACGGC